rnacentral:rRNA from 1 species
UACGUAGGGGGCAAGCGUUGUUCGGAAUUACUGGGCGUAAAGGGCGCGUAGGCGGCUCUGCAAGUCGGGAGUGAAAGCCCGGGGCUCAACCCCGGAACGGCUCUCGAAACUGCAGGGCUUGAGUGCGGAAGAGGCAACCGGAAUUCCCAGUGUAGCGGUGAAAUGCGUAGAUAUCUGGAGGAAUACCGGUGGCGAAGGCGGCAUCCUGGACCGACAUUGACGCUGAACGGCGAAAGCUAGGGGAGCAAACGGG